UUCAAUACGAUGAUUCCUUUUCCAAAUUUAU
rnacentral:piRNA from 1 species